rnacentral:rRNA from 1 species
ACAUAGGGGGCAAGCGUUGUCCGGAAUCACUGGGCGUAAAGGGCGCGUAGGUGGUCUGUUAAGUCAGAUGUGAAAUGUAAGGGCUCAACCCUUAACGUGCAUCUGAUACUGGCAGACUUGAGUGCGGAAGAGGCAAGUGGAAUUCCUAGUGUAGCGGUGAAAUGCGUAGAUAUUAGGAGGAACACCAGUGGCGAAGGCGACUUGCUGGGCCGUAACUGACGCUGAGGCGCGAAAGCGUGGGGAGCAAACAG